AUAGGAAGAUAAAAGGCAUCUUUUAUCUUUUAAAAGACCUAGUAAUAGGUAUGCUUUAGGAGGGGCUUGCGCCAUAUUAGUUAGUUGGUAGGGUAAUGGCCUACCAAGACGAUGAUGUGUAGCUGGACUGAGAGGUUGAACAGCCACAUUGGGACUGAGACACGGCCCAAACUCCUACGGGAGGCAGCAGUAGGGAAUUUUCGGCAAUGGAGGAAACUCUGACCGAGCAACGCCGCGUGAAUGACGAAGUACUUCGGUAUGUAAAGUUCUUUUAUCAAGGAAGAAAAGCAAAUGGCGAACCAUUUGUUUGCCGGUACUUGAUGAAUAAGCCCCGGCUAAUUAUGUGCCAGCAGCCGCGGUAAGACAUAAGGGGCAAGUGUUAUCCGGAAUUAUUGGGCGUAAAGGGUGCGUAGGCGGUCUAGUAAGUCAGUGGUGUAAUGGCAACGCUUAACGUUGUCCGGCUAUUGAAACUGCUAAACUUGAGUUAGAUAGAGGSGAGUGGAAUUCCAUGUGUAGCGGUAAAAUGCGUAAAUAUAUGGAGGAACACCAGAGGCGUAGGCGGCUCGAUGGGUUUUAACUGACGCUGAGGCACGAAAGCGUGGGGAGCAAACAGGAUUAGAUACCCUGGUAGUCCACGCCGUAAACGAUGAGUACUAAGUGUCGGGUUAAACCGGUACUGAAGUUAACACAUUAAGUACUCCGCCUGAGUAGUACGUACGCAAGUAUGAAACUUAAAGGAAUUGACGGGACUCCGCACAAGCGGUGGAUCAUGUUGUUUAAUUCGAAGAUACCCGAAAAACCUUACCAGGUCUUGACAUGUUUUUGCUAAAUGAUAGUAAUAUCGUGGAGGUUACCAGAAACACAGGUGGUGCAUGGUUGUCGUCAGCUCGUGUCGUGAGAUGUUAGGUUAAGUCCUAAAACGAGCGAAACCCUUAUCGUUAGUUGCCAGCACGUUAUGGUGGGGACUUUAACGAGACUGCCAAUGAUAAAUUGGAGGAAGGUGAGGAUCACGUCAAAUCAGCAUGCCCCUUAUGACCUGGGCUACAAACGUGAUACAAUGGCUGUUACAAAGGGUAGCUGAAACGCAAGUUCUUGGCCAAUCCCCAAAAACAGUCCCAGUCCGGAUUGAAGUCUGCAACUCGACUUCAUGAAGUUGGAAUCGCUAGUAAUCGCGAAUCAGCAUGUCGCGGUGAAUACGUUCU
rnacentral:rRNA from 1 species